UUCUCGCCCAUAAUCUUCUCCGUGGUUGGUUCUUGGGUUGAUGACCGCAUCACUGAAGCAAGUCUUCUCCCAUACUUUUUCUCUUUUCUCACUAAAACCCUUAUGGUUUCUUCAAUUUUAUCAACAGCUGACUUCCUUAUCUUGUCUUUGUCUUUUCCCUUUCCAAGUCUUUUUAGAAACCAAUCGAACAUCCUUUCAACUUGAUCUGCAAAUUUCAGAAAUCAAACGUCAAAAACCAAACAAAUCCAGAAUAAACGCCGAGUGUAGCAGCUCAAAAUCCCAACUCAAGCAUAUAUAUAAACACGGAGUACUCUAGUAAUCAGCCCUCUUUAGUCUUCCCUUCUGAGGAUUCACUGGUUUGGCUCCCUAAAACAGGUUCCAAAUUACACUAAGACACGGGUGAUAAAGCAGGAACUUGUAACUGUAUCUAAUGGC
rnacentral:lncRNA from 1 species